GAGAGGCCUGCGGCUGUUGGCAGUCUGAGGCCAGCCCCUCCUACCUGUCCCUUCUCCAUGGAUCAUUAAACCAGAGGCCUGCUGCUGUGGUGUCAUUGGCUUGGCAGGCUGCAUUGAGGAGGAAGUUGCUGAGCUCCCUCUAUUCCUCCUCACCUGUUUGGGCUGCUGUGCACAGCUGCGCCCAUACUCGGCCCUACCACUUGUGGCCCUCUGCCUGUGACUCCCCCGUCCAUCUGGGGAGAUGCUGUCCCGUGGGUAAGUCCCGUCCCCCCCGGGUGCCACAGUCUCCUAUUAGUUUGGGAGAGAGGUGCAGGGUGUAUGCUCCCUGCUGGCAGGUGUGGGACCAUGAGCGUGACCUGCUGCUGGUACCCUGGCCUGGGUUUUCUUCCUGUCCCUGCCUCAAGAUAUAAGGAGCUCCAGUCUCAUACCCCUCUGCCUCCUCCUCCUGUCUCUAGCACCUUCCCUGUGACAGAGACAUCUUUCUUCUCUCUCCAUUGCUUGUCUCCCUUCACUCUCUGGUCCCCCUGGUCCCCCGCUUCUGCUGUCUGCUUACCCCAACCCCUGGGUAGUGCACAUCACCUGAAACAUACCCUGUCUGAAAGGCAAAUCGGAGAAAACUCCCCGCUUCCCACGGAAUUUCCUGAUAUCCGGGGUUUGCUCCACUUUCAGGGUCUCUUCCCUUCCCCCUCCCAUGCAUCAUCCAUGCAACAGACGCUAUCGAGCAUCCCCUAUAGACCAGGUACUUAGUAAGGUGCUGACAAUAAUUUAGCGAAGAAGACAGACAUGGUCCUUGCUCUCAGAAAGCUUCAUUCCAGUGGGAGGCAUGGACACUUCAUUCCAGUGGACACUUCGUUCCAGUGUCCAGACAACACAGAGAACCCAAUAAAUAGGAUUAAUUUCAGAUUUUCAGAAGUGUCAUGCAGGAAACGAGACGGCUUCAGGUGCCAGCAAGUGUCUGGGGGUGCCAAUGGCAUUGUUAACUGGAGGGAUCCAGAAGGGCUUUCCGGAGGAGGGGACAGGAGCGCUGAGAGCUGGAUGAUGAGGCAGAGCCAGCCAUGUGGUGCCCAUGGCAGAGGCCCUGCUGUGGGCACACGGGACCAAGGACAGGGUGCAAAGAGAAAGCAGGGGAGAGAGAGGCAGAGAACUGAAACGGCAUGUGCGGGCAGGAUGGUGUGUCCGUGUGUGUGUGU